UCCGUAGGCGGUGUGGCAAGUCGGUAGUGAAAUCUCUCGGCUUAACUGAGAGGCUGCUGCCGAAACUGCCAUGCUCGAGUGCGAGAGAGGCGAGUGGAAUUGCGGGUGUAGCGGUGAAAUGCGUAGAUAUCCGCAGGAACAUCCGAGGCGAAAGCGGCUCGCUGGAUCGCAACUGACGCUGAGGGACGAAAGCUAGGGGAGCAAACAGGAUUAGAUACCCUGGUAGUCCUAGCCCUAAACCAUCAGGACUUGGGGUUUGCCCUGUACGGGGCAAGUCCCGGAGCUAACGCGUUAAGUCCUGCGCCUGGGGAGUACGGUCGCAAGGCUGAAA
rnacentral:rRNA from 1 species